rnacentral:rRNA from 1 species
GACAGAGGGUGCAAACGUUUGUUCGGAAUUACUGGGCGUAAAGCGCGUGUAGGCGGCUUGGCAAGUCGGGUGUGAAAGCCCUGGGCUCAACCUAGGAAGUGCACUCGAAACUGCUUCGCUUGAGUGCCGGAGAGGAAAGCGGAAUUCUCGGUGUAGAGGUGAAAUUCGUAGAUAUCGAGAGGAACAUCGGUGGCGAAAGGCGGCUUUCUGGACCGAGACUGACGCUGAGGCGCGAAAAGCGUGGGGGAGCAAACAGG